rnacentral:tRNA from 1 species
CAGGACGUAGCUAAGAAGUAUAGCAUCUCCCUUACACUGAGAAGUCACCCUUGCAAAACGGGUCGGCCUGA